UUUGAGCGUCUAGAAUCACAGAUUGUGGCAUAUUCAAAAUUCGAACAGUCUAACAGUUACUCUGUAAAUGUCAAAAAAGUAAAACAAAGAAAUGUUUACAGAUUGAAUAUUGGUGUUAACUCAAGUGACUAGGGAAGAAAAUGGGGAACGUCAACUUAAAGUCAAAACUAAUGGAGAUCUCGAGACCCUGUCUAUAAAGUGGCAAUUACAUAUAUGUAUGUAUGGCAAUGAUAUGAGCGAUGUCUGGGAUCUUGCAACCCAUUCCACAUUGGAGGCGACACUGCUGAGCGUCAUGUUCAGAAUGGACAUGCCAUGUCCACGUCCAAAACGAUGUACCAGGGAUUUCAGCUGCAGAUAAAGUAUGAUUUUAGUUAGACUUGGGAAUAUCAGGAUUUAUUAUAUUGAUUUUAUUGAAGACGAAAAAAUCAAUAAUAUAUCAAA